CAACCUGCCGACAACACUGGGAUAGCCUUUCGAAAGAAAGAUUAAUACCGGAUGGCAUAGUUUUCCCGCAUGGGAUGAUUAUUAAAGAAUUUCGGUUGUCGAUGGGGAUGCGUUCCAUUAGGCAGUUGGCGGGGUAACGGCCCACCAAACCAACGAUGGAUAGGGGUUCUGAGAGGAAGGUCCCCCACAUUGGAACUGAGACACGGUCCAAACUCCUACGGGAGGCAGCAGUGAGGAAUAUUGGUCAAUGGACGAGGGUCUGAACCAGCCAAGUAGCGUGAGGGAUGACUGCCCUAUGGGUUGUAAACUUCUUUUAUACGGGAAUAAAGUGAGCCACGUGUGGUUUUUUGUAUGUACCGUAUGAAUAAGGAUCGGCUAACUCCGUGCCAGCAGCCGCGGUAAUACGGAGGAUCCGAGCGUUAUCCGGAUUUAUUGGGUUUAAAGGGAGCGUAGGCGGGUUGUUAAGUCAGUUGUGAAAGUUUGCGGCUCAACCGUAAAAUUGCAGUUGAUACUGGCGACCUUGAGUGCAACAGAGGUAGGCGGAAUUCGUGGUGUAGCGGUGAAAUGCUUAGAUAUCACGAAGAACUCCGAUUG
rnacentral:rRNA from 1 species